CGAGCUGGGUUCAGAACGUCGUGAGACAGUUCGGUCCCUAUCCGUCGCAGGCGUAGGAAAUUUGAGAAGACCUGUCCUUAGUACGAGAGGACCGGGAUGGACGUAUCUCUGGUGUACCAGUUGUCCUGCCAAGGGCAUGGCUGGGUAGCUAUGUACGGAAUGGAUAAGCGCUGAAAGCAUCUAAGCGCGAAGCCAACUUCAAGAUAAGAUUUCCC
rnacentral:rRNA from 1 species